rnacentral:piRNA from 1 species
UGCCUGAUGGGGCUUGUGUAACCAAGG